rnacentral:rRNA from 1 species
UCCGUAGGUGAACCUGCGGAGGGAUCAUUACCGAGUUUACAACUCCCAAACCCAAUGUGAACGUUACCAAACUGUUGCCUCGGCGGGGUCACGCCCCGGGUGCGUCGCAGCCCCGGAACCAGGCGCCCGCCGGAGGAACCAACCAAACUCUUUCUGUAGUCCCCUCGCGGACGUAUUUCUUACAGCUCUGAGCAAAAAUUCAGAAUGAAUCAAAACUUUCAACAACGGAUCUCUUGGUUCUGGCAUCGAUGAAGAACGCAGCGAAAUGCGAUAAGUAAUGUGAAUUGCAGAAUUCAGUGAAUCAUCGAAUCUUUGAACGCACAUUGCGCCCGCCAGUAUUCUGGCGGGCAUGCCUGUCCGAGCGUCAUUUCAACCCUCGAACCCCUCCGGGGGAUCGGCGUUGGGGAUCGGGACCCCUCACACGGGUGCCGGCCCCGAAAUACAGUGGCGGUCUCGCCGCAGCCUCUCCUGCGCAGUAGUUUGCACAACUCGCACCGGGAGCGCGGCGCGUCCACGUCCGUAAAACACCCAACUUUCUGAAAUGUUGACCUCGGAUCAGGUAGGAAUACCCGCUGAACUUAAGCAUAUCAAUAAGCGGAGAA